rnacentral:rRNA from 1 species
AUUGAACGCUGGCGGCAGGCCUAACACAUGCAAGUCGGGCGCGCGGCGGACGGGUGAGUAAUGUAUGGGGAUCUGCCUGAUGGAGGGGGAUAACUACUGGAAACGGUAGCUAAUACCGCAUACCCUCAGAUAGACCCAUAUGGGAUUAGCUUGUAGGUAAGGUAACGGCUUACCUAGGCGACGAUCCCUAGCUGGUCUGAGAGGAUGCUCAGCCACAAUGGACUGGAGAUACGGCCCAGACUCCUACGGGAGGCAGCAGUGGGGAAUAUUGCACAAUGGGCGCAAGCCGUAUGCAGCCAUGCCGCGUGUAUGAAGAAGGCCUUCGGGUUGUAAAGUACAUUCAGUCGGGAGGCGUUACCGACAGAAGAAGCACCGGCUAACUCCGUGCCAGCAGCCGCGGUAAUAC